rnacentral:pre_miRNA from 1 species
UUCCAUGGCUGUUGGCGAACUGUCAGUUCUGAUUGAUAAGUCAGGCUCGAGGUGGCUCGUCUAACUGUCCAUGUUC